GAUGAACGCUGGCGGCGUGCCUAAUACAUGCAAGUCGAGCGAACAGACGAGGAGUUUGCUCCUCUGUCGUUAGCGGCGGACGGGUGAGUAACACGUGGAUAACCUACCUAUAUGACUUGGAUAACUUCGGGAAACCGUAGUUACUACCGGAUAAUCCUUUGAACCGCAUGGUUCUAUAGUGAAAGACGGUUUUUCUGUCACCUAUAGAUGUAUCCGCGCGGCAUUAGAUAGUUGGUAAGGUAACGGCUUACCAAGGCAACGAUCCGUAGCCGACCUGGGAGGCUGAUCGGCCGCACUGGAGCGUGGCCACGGUCCAGGCUCCUGCGGGAGGCAGCAGAAGGGUAUCUUACGCAGUGGGCGGAAGCAUGACGGAGUAACGCAGAGUGAGAGAUGGAGAUCUUGGGAGCGUGAAACUCUGUUAUUGGGGAAGAACAAAUUUGUACGUAAAUAUGCACAUCUUGACGGUACCUGAACAGAAAGCCCCGGCUAACUACGUG
rnacentral:rRNA from 1 species